ACGGCUCAGUAACACGUAGUCAAUCUACCCUAUGGACGGGAAUAACCUCGGGAAACUGAGAAUAAUGCCCGACAGAACAUUAUACCUGGAACGGUUUAUGUUUCAAAUGAUUUAUCGCCGUAGGAUGGGACUGCGGCCUAUCAGUUUGUUGGUGAGGUAAUGGCCCACCAAGACUAUUACAGGUACGGGCUCUGAGAGGAGUAGCCCGGAGAUGGGUACUGAGACACGGACCCAGGCCCUAUGGGGCGCAGCAGGCGAGAAAACUUUGCAAUGUGCGAAAGCACGACAAGGUUAAUCCGAGUGGUUUCUGCUAAAGAAACCUUUUGCUAGUCCUAGAAACACUAGUGAAUAAGGGGUGGGCAAGUUCUGGUGUCAGCCGCCGCGGUAAAACCAGCACCUCAAGUGGUCAGGAUGAUUAUUGGGCCUAAAGCAUCCGUAGCUCGUUUUGUAAGUUUUCGGUUAAAUCCAUACGCUUAACGUAUGGGCUGCCGGGAAUACUGCAUAACUAGGAAGUGGGAGAGGUAGACGGUACUCGGUAGGAAGGGGUAAAAUCCUUUGAUCUAUUGAUGACCACCUGUGGCGAAGGCGGUCUACCAGAACACGUUCGACGGUGAGGGAUGAAAGCUGGGGGAGCAAACCGGAUUAGAUACCCGGGUAGUCUCAGCUGUAAACUAUGCAAACUCAGUGAUGCAUUGGCUUGUGGCCAAUGCAGUGCUGCAGGGAAGCCGUUAAGUUUGCCGCCUGGGAAGUACGUACGCAAGUAUGAAACUUAAAGGAAUUGGCGGGGGAGCACA
rnacentral:rRNA from 1 species